GGCCUUAGCGAGCGUAUGCGUAUCAUGCAGUCGAGCGAAUGGAUUAAGAGCUUGCUCUUAUGAAGUUAGCGGCGGACGGGUGAGUAACACGUGGGUAACCUGCCCAUAAGACUGGGAUAACUCCGGGAAACCGGGGCUAAUACCGGAUAACAUUUUGAACCGCAUGGUUCGAAAUUGAAAGGCGGCUUCGGCUGUCACUUAUGGAUGGACCCGCGUCGCAUUAGCUAGUUGGUGAGGUAACGGCUCACCAAGGCUACCAUGCGUAGCCGACCUGAGAGGGUGAUCGGCUACUCUGGGACUGACACACUUCCCAAAGUCCUACUGGAGUGUGUCUUGGGGAAUCUUCCACACCGCACCCUCCUCUGAUCGACCACCUCCUGUCGUCCGAUUGUCGCGGUUAUCGCUGGAAGUGUCUGCGGCGUUUUAUCAUCUUCCUCUUCAUCCUGUGUUCCUGUC
rnacentral:rRNA from 1 species